GACGAACGCUGGCGGCGUGCUUAACACGUGCAAGUCGAACGGAAAGGCCCUGCUUUUGUGGGGUGCUCGAGUGGCGAACGGGUGAGUAACACGUGAGUAACCUGCCCUUGACUUUGGGAUAACUUCAGGAAACUGGGGCUAAUACCGGAUAGGAGCUCCUGCUGCAUGGUGGGGGUUGGAAAGUUUCGGCGGUUGGGGAUGGACUCGCGGCUUAUCAGCUUGUUGGUGGGGUAGUGGCCUACCAAGGCUUUGACGGGUAGCCGGCCUGAGAGGGUGACCGGCCACAUUGGGACUGAGAUACGGCCCAGACUCCUACGGGAGGCAGCAGUGGGGAAUAUUGCACAAUGGGCGGAAGCCUGAUGCAGCAACGCCGCGUGCGGGAUGACGGCCUUCGGGUUGUAAACCGCUUUCGCCUGUGACGAAGCGUGAGUGACGGUAAUGGGUAAAGAAGCACCGGCUAACUACGUG
rnacentral:rRNA from 1 species